GACGAACGCUGGCGGCGUGCUUAACACAUGCAAGUCGAACGAGAAUCUGUGGAUCGAGGAUUCGUCCAAGUGAAGCAGAGGACAGUGGCGGACGGGUGAGUAACGCGUGAGGAACCUGCCUUUCAGAGGGGGACAACAGUUGGAAACGACUGCUAAUACCGCAUAACAUUGCCGAACGGCAUCGUUUGGCAAUCAAAGGAGCAAUCCGCUGAAAGAUGGGCUCGCGUCUGAUUAGAUAGUUGGUGAGGUAACGGCUCACCAAGUCGACGAUCAGUAGCCGGACUGAGAGGUUGAUCGGCCACAUUGGGACUGAGACACGGCCCAGACUCCUACGGGAGCAGCAGUGGGGGAUAUUGGACAAUGGGGGAAACCCUGAUCCAGCGAUGCCGCGUGAGGGAAGAAGGUUUUCGGAUUGUAAACCUCUGUGGACAGGGACGAUAAUGACGGUACCUGUUUAGAAAGCC
rnacentral:rRNA from 1 species